GACGAACGCUGGCGGCGUGCCUAAUACAUGCAAGUAGAACGCUGAAGGAGGAGCUUACUUCUCUGGAUGAGUUGCGAACGGGUGAGUAACGCGUAGGUAACCUGCCUGGUAGCGGUGGAUAACUAUUGGAAACGAUAGCUAAUACCGCAUAAGAGUAGAUGUUGCAUGACAUUUACUUAAAAGGUGCAAUUGCACCACUACCAGAUGGACCUGCGUUGUAUUAGCUAGUUGGUGGGGUAACGGCUUACCAAGGCGACGAUACAUAGCCGACCUGGGAGGGGGAUCGGCCACACUGGGACUGAGACACGGCACAGACUCCUACGGGAGGCAGCAGUAGGGAAGCGUCGGCAAUGGACGGAAGUCUGACCGAGCAACGCCGCGUGAGUGAAGAAGGUUUUCGGAUCGUAAAGCUCUGUUGUAAGAGAAGAACGAGUGUGAGGGUGGAAAGUUCACACUGUGACGGUAUCUUACCAGAAAGGGACGGCUAACUACGUGCCAGCCGCCGCCGUAA
rnacentral:rRNA from 1 species